GCAGGGAUGGAUGGAGAAUGGGAAGAGGAAACCUCUGUCAACAUUGGGAUCAAGUAGUCAAAGUAGACCGCACAAGAAGGCUCACGCCACAACGAAAAAGAAGAGGCGCACUGUUCAAGCAGCUGAAGAGUCCGCACUGGUGCAUGAAAUCCAACAUCAGUCGUCACAGUCGCUCGCUGCAGAGCUAAAGGCAUUGCGAAAAAAGUACAACCGUGUUGUACAAGAGAGGGACACGUUGAAGGAGCGAAACUUUUACCUUCAAACUGCCCUCUGCUCACGCAUUUUUGAAACAGAGAAAGAAAUGCAAAACAACCACCGUGCAAGAGCCGGCAACACAGUGCAAGAAGCCCAGCCAUUAGUGCCACCACCGCCACCAGCCUUUGAUGUGAUGCGCGAGGCUGAGACACAUAUGGCUACGUCGACAGCUGCUGCACACUUAGAUACUCAAAGCCUAGAUUCAGUACAUGAUGCAGAAGGUAGGCCAACUCCCCAACUUUGUCAUAAAGCUCAGAGCUGGGUGAUUCCACGUGAGAUCAUGCAGGUUGAACCGGUCGACUUCUUCGAUUUUUUUUUUUUU